GUUGUGGCUUAGUGGUAGAGCGCUUACCUAGCACGUGUGAGAAUCUGGGUUCGAUCCUCAGCACAACA
rnacentral:tRNA from 1 species